rnacentral:rRNA from 1 species
GAUGAACGCUGGCGGCGUGCCUAAUACAUGCAAGUCGAGCGAACGGACGAGAAGCUUGCUCCUCUGAUGUUAGCGGCGGACGGGUGAGUAACACGUGGAUAACCUACCUAUAAGACUGGGAUAACUUCGGGAAACCGGAGCUAAUACCGGAUAAUAUUUUGAACCGCAUGGUUCAAAAGUGAAAGACGGUCUUGCUGUCACUUAUAGAUGGAUCCGCGCCGCCUUAGCUAGUUGGUAAGGUAACGGCUUACCAAGGCAACCAUGCAUAGCCGACCUGAGAGGGUGAUCCGCCCACUCUGAACUGAGGCACGGCCCAAACCCCCAAGGGAGGGAGCCGGAGGGAAUCUUUCGGAAUUGGCGGAAGGCUGACGGAGGCAAGCCGGGGGAGUGAAGGAAGUUCUCCGAUCGGAAAACUCCUUUUUUAGGGGAAAACCAUUUGUGUAGUAACUGUUGACGAUCUGACGGUAACUAAACAGAAAGGCCCCGCUAACCACGUG